UGUUAAAUUUACUUCAUUUUGCUUAUACUCAAAUAUUUUGUCUGUUAGAAAACAAGCAAUUUAAGUAUGUAUAUUUUUAAAAUUUUUAUCACAAAAAUAGUAGAUUAAACUAUUUAAUCCCUUACACAUGCUUUAGAUCAAAUCCAAACUACCUUCCUAAGAUCUAUGAUAUGAAAAUAUUGCACAAAAAAAAAUCUGAUCUAAAAGAAAACACUGCAUCGAUCGUAUUGAUGCCCUGAAUC
rnacentral:lncRNA from 1 species